GGGAGGGAGGCCGUUACUAAAUUAGACUGCUCUAAAGCCAGGGAAUUGGUUUUACAUGAGUGUUUGGGGUCAGAAGAAUUCCCCGGCACAUUCCAUUUGCCUAUACAUUUUUUUCUUGAAUAUACAGCUUUGUAUACGGUUUUGCCUAACUGGCGCUCUUGAUUCUAUAACUUAAUUGCUUAAGAAAUGGCCCCUGUUUACAGAAGGGCAUGGCUUUAGCGGUAGGAAGGGGUGUGCCAGGACUGACACUGCUAGAAGCAAGUGAAGCCCUUUGGGACCCAGGGGUGCGCUUCAAAUGCGCAGGCAGCAGCCUUGGCUAGAGGAGCUGCAAACAUGUUCACUUUUAUCUAGGGCCAAGUAGGCCAGGAAAGACAAAAGGGGUCAAACGUUACAGGGCAGAGGGCAGUGUGUCUAGCAGGGCAGAAGAGCAGGGAAACCUCGUUCACAUGCAGCCUACUCCGACCAUGGUUCAGCUUCCUGAGCAACAGACCAUGUUCUACCCCACGGUGCCCCAGCAGGACUCUAGCCAGGGUCGGGAACCCAGGCAUAGACCGGUUCACUAACUUUCAGAAUGAACAGUUUACCAAGUUACCGUCAAUCCCCUGGACACUUGGAGAGGCUCCCUGGGGCAGUGUGGGUCUAGGUCAGAGCUUUAGAGUUCUCCGGCUUGUCCACGAUGUUGGCAGAGCCAACAGCCACCUAAGUACGUCCAUCCUGGGUCCCUGCCCCACCGCCCUGAGUCACAGUACUUCUCAGAGCGGCCUGACCACACCCAGGCAGGUGCACUGACUGUGCUCAUUGCCCAGUCAAUAAAGACAAGAGUCUCGUGUUUACCCAGCCGCCAGGGACCCACACUGCUUAUUCUGAGGGGAAAAUCCUGCAUGUAUGAUCUGCAUUUUGGUUUCUAAGCCAAACACAGAAGGGCAGUGUUUGCUUCUCUCAGUGACCUACACCCUUCUGUCCCUGACACCUCAGUAGGACCCAGGCUGCCACCAUUCAUCCUGGCCCCACAACCCUCCUCCCUCCUGAGACCUCGGUCACCCAACUAGAGACCAAGAUAUCAUUCAUACUAUCCUCUCUGUGCCCCGGAUGAAUCCUGUCAGAAUAGGCUGAGAACUAUGUUACAGUUCAUCAACAUUAUCGGCCUCCACCUACAUGGUGGCUGGAAGGACACUUCCUCCGCCAGUCCACAGGCUCUGCAGCCUGGCCACCUACUACGCCCACCUUCUCCCCACUCUGACAGUGGCACCAGGACCUCACCGUGAGGAUCUGCCAUAGCUCUGUGUCCUGCUCCCUCACCCUCUCCACAGCUCAGUUUAGACACCAGCCUUCUAGAGAUGAUUCUUCACCUCCUUGCCCAGGUAGCUUCCACUGGGGGUGUCUGUCCCCCAGAACAGUGGCAUGGCCUUUGCAGUUUGUGUUACUUAUACUUUGGGAUAUGCCUACCUCCCCAGAAGAUAAGGGGCUUCGAUAGGGAAGGGGCUACACAAAGGUUCCAGGAAGGCUCAAGGCAAAAGUGCCUCAGAGAUGGGAUAGAUCAACAGAGGCGGGUCAUGAUGCCAGUGCGAGUGGAGGCAGCCAUUUCCUCCAGCUUGUUCCUCUGAUGAACAAGAAGCACAAAGAUUUUACUUUUCUCAAGAGAAGUCACUUUGAAGCUAACACUGGAAGGCCACAGUUUCUACAUGAGCACAGCCAAGUGACUUCUCAGUGGAGCCCCAGCCGGGUCUGAGGACACAGUAACCUCUCACACCUGCUGCCUGGCUUGGGCAGUGGCAGAGCAGCGCGCUUGUUUACUACCCCAGCUGCUCACCAGAGGGAGGACUCCAGCUCGGAGCCCGAGUCACAGCUCACUCCUUGUCACACUUGACUGGCUGUGCUCAGCCAGUUUCUGGCCCUCAACGAGGAGCUGGCAGAAGCCCUCCAGGCUAGAGGGAGAAAUACAGGAUCCGGAGCUGCCUGUCUAUGCCAGUCCAUCUCUGCCAGACCCACUGGGACCGGGGCAGACCCUGCAGGGGCAAUGGGCAGUGGGAUGAGGUCUCCUGAGGCAUUCCAGUGGUCCUUGAGUUCAGCAAGGACCAGGGGAGGGCCCCAGCUACACUCCUUGGGCCGCUCGAAUGUCAUCGCAGAGUCUUGAGCAGACCACUUCCCAGUCUCCCUUCCUCUUCCCCUCAUCACUGCUGUCUGCGAUCACAAGUGCUCCUCACAUUGUGUAGUACCCAGAAGGACCCACUUAGCAUCUCUCUUCUUUAUUCCCUCUCCCUUCCUCUCUCCCUCCACUGACCCCAUUGUUUGGGGAGACAAAGCCCAGACUCAUAAUUUCUGUCUGGGCCCCUUAUGUUUGUGUCUUUUUGCUCCCUCCCCCCCUACCCCGGCUUCAGCCACAGUCUCCUUUCCAGCUGCAGCUGCUGCCAGCCAGACCCCUCUGCACCUGCUUGUGGCUGUUUCCUGCACCCCUUCCUGACUCCUGCCAUCCCCUCUUCCCUCUGUACCCUUCAGAGCUCAAUUGAGACGUCUCUCCUUCAGGGGACUCUUCCUUGAUCCUGUCCCUACACCAGACUGUCGCUGGCCUGGAGCUGUUUCUAGGAUUCUGUCCAGCAGAAGCUCCAUAAAGUCUGUCUGAGGCCAAGCCAUGGCUGUUGGCCACCCUGUUUGGGGAGGGAAGUAACAGAUGCAGAAACAAACCAUUGAGGAAUAAACAGUCUGCUGAUUUGAGUGCCCAUUCAGGUUGGGAAGCUCUUGUGAAAUCAGUCUCUCUGUGGUCAGGGUCAGGUCUGACCCGUGGGCAGUAAUGUGGGCUCCAUGGAUGACAUAUGGGGGGGAAAGUACCAGGGAGGAGGCAUGCUUGCACCGCUGAGAGCCACUGUGGUGUCCACAACAUCCCUGUGAGCCAGGCUUCCCUUCACCAAAGGCUUCCUGGGAAAAUUACCCAUUCUGUCGUCCCCUGUGGCUCAACCCUGAUGUUGAUUGAUCACAUUGGGAUUAGCUGUUGGCUGGGAUGGGACUUUAGGGGACAAGGAGAGAGAAUCCAUCUUCAGCUGCCCCCACUCUUGUGACCCCAGAAACCCUUCUGGCAAAGUCUCUAGUUUGCAGUGAUCUUUGUGCCUGCCCUGGGCAGGCAUGGACAUAUUUUUGGUCUCUGCUGUAGGGCUGGUGGAGGGGAGGGUCUGGGGUGGCAGCUCCAGGGGUGAGUGGAAGCUGUGCCCCUCUAAGACGAGGCAGCUUGGAGUCCCUUGGCCCCUCAUGGUGCCACUGCAGAUCCUUCCUGGCUACCCCGGGCCUCCUCUUCAGCAGUGCCUGCACAGGAGGACUCUGCUGGGUGCUGCCACUGCCAUGCCCUGACUGGCUCCCUUGUCUACACAUGGAAGCUGCUGCUACAACAGACACAGAAGGACUGCCAUGGACGAGGCUGCUUCUAAAGCUCGGGAUAAUUAUUUUGUCUCGGGGAAAUGGAAGGAGGGUAAACAAACAGCGCACACUAAUCAGUCUCAUCUACACUCUCCUCAUGAAAGAGAAGCACUGCAGUUCAACAUGAGAGGCUGGUAGCUUCCCGGAGUUUUCAAAUGCUCAGCCGAGUGACCACGGAGGGGUGUGGCUUCCCCAGGCUUGGACAGCAUAGGCAGGGGCUCAGCUGCACCCUUUCUCUUGUCUGCACUGUCUAGAUGGGGUCAGGCAUGUGUCUGGCUUUGGACAUGGGACCCCAUUGUCCCUGUCAUUCCUUCUCUUUUUUCCAUGUCCUUGAUCUUGAGCUUUGCAAGCAAGGUCUGUCAUGAACACUAGUAAAGGGUUAGCAGGUCCCUCCAAGGCUAUGCAUGCUGACCUUCUGCACCUCAACCUCUUAGAUUAGGAGGAUCGUUCAAGGUUUCUCAUGUUAGGACCACAGACGCCCUUUGUGUAGUUUCCAGGAUUACUAGAAGUCACAUCUCUUCCCCUCCAUACCAUGGUUGAAAUAGCUGAGCUGGGGUCCUGAGUACUCUCAGGUCCUCAGGGAUCCUAACAGACUCCUGAUCUCUUCAUUAUGAGUUGUGGAGUUAAUGACUGGGAGCUAUAUGGUGCCCCAAGGCAGGACUCCUGGGAGCCAGCCUCUCCCCUAGAUGUCCAGACCAGGCUUUCUCUUCUCACCUGCGAUUCAUGGUCUUACACUCAGCCUGGGAGGCAGGCUAGCCUGAAAGAUAUCCUGGCACUGAUCACGGCCUAGGGUAUCAGUGCCUACCUCUGGUCUUCCUAUGAGGUCUAGAGGGGGGCAGGCUGUAACCUGAUCAUCUCUGCUUCCUUUGCUCCAUUUUCUGAGCUACCCCAUGUGCCGUCUUCUCUCCCCAGCUUGUGGGUUUCACAUCAUUAGGGGUGGACCUGAGCCCACCCACAGAACUUCCAGGAUCCUGACUAAACCAGGGUGCCCUCUGGAUCCUCACAGAUGCCCUCACACUGUUAGGGCCAAAGCCAAAGCCUCCACCAACUUCCUCUCUCCUCUGCAGUGAUGAUUGGGCUGGUCUGUGCAUGAUCAGAGGGGACGGAGGGCUCUGUGGGUCACAGACUGAUGCAGGUGGAAGAGAAACUUGGCCCAGGGAUGUUUGGGAACCCAGAAAACCUUUAGUCCGUGUGGAAGAGGAAAAGGUGGACAACUCCUCUGCAAGACCUCAAGAACAUAGUCCCAGGCAUUUGUGGGUAGCCCAAGGCAUCAAUAGCAAGCUGCUUCUGUAUGGCCAUGCAAGUUAACCUGAAGGCCCCUGACUCCUAAUCAGUAACCUGUGUGACCACAGCAUGGGGAGUGAGAGGAAUCCUUAGGAAUGGUCCCGUCUGGGCAGACUGUAGGAAGCAUGACUGUCUCACUGAGCAUCAAAUGACCAGGAUUGCCAGACCUGAGAGAUGGACCUAGCUGGCAAGCUGAUUCAGAGGACACAGCUUCACAGAAGCUCCAAGGGUCCUGUGUGGAUGUUGACUUUGAAUCUGAAUUUCUCCUGCAGUGGGAAGGUCUGCGAUCUUUCUAAAGCUAAGUGUUCCUCAGAUGUGCAGAACUCCUGAGCUGCCCGCAGCUGUGCCCUGGCAAAGAGUAGAGCCAUCCCCCUGAGUCAGGGCCUGCAGGUCUGCGGGCCUCAAGGCAGCCCUUGGAGAUAGUGAUCUGAGCAGACAGAAGUUGCAAUCACAAGUUCUGAGCACAGGUAGUGUCUCAUAUAUUCCAGUCUGGCUCUGAACUGACUGUGUAUUGGAGGAUGACCUUGAACUUCUGAUCUUCCUGCCACCAUCUCUCAGAUGUGGGAUUACAGGCAUGAGGCACCACAGCCGGUUUAUGUAACUAUAGAGAGUGAACCAGGCUUUCGUGCGUGUUAGACUAGCAGUCCACCAACCAGGCUAUAUCCACAACCCCAGACAGCCGGCUUCUGGUGAUAACCACAGCACUGGCCGUCCAGUCUUGACCAGCAGAGGAAGAUAAAGAAACUGGGGCUCAGAGAGAUUGAGGGAUGCACCUAAAGAUAUCCAGCCUGAUGCUGAGUCUCUAAGUUUCUCCACUUGCCUGCUUGGAAAGGCUUAGAAGAGAUGCUUCACUACUACCCAACCGUCCUUCCAUUAUCCAUGCACAGCAGGGAUGGAGGUUUUAUUCCUCUACUUAAUGCAUGGCCGAUAAGGACCAGUUACAUCAAUGAUUGUAAAAAUCAGUGCCUUUGUAUGCUUCCUGCGAGGGACAGGAACUUGGAGCUGUCCUGACGGGAAAAACCUGGGCCUUUCCCCAUAUGGAUUCUGAAUUAUCACACACAGAGGCUGGAGUGGGAAGACUGGAAACUACCGUUUGAUAGGUGCUGAUUUGGGGAGGCCACUGCUACACCCACAUACAAGGAGGGCUGAGGGCUGCAAAAGGCAGGCGCGCUAGCGGAGUUGGAACAACCUGCUUCACAUCCCAGAAGGUCUUUAGAGGAAGCACAAAUGCGGUAGGCCUGGAGGCAAGUAGCACCCAGGAGAGCAGAUGCACUUCAGUGGACUCCACAGGCUGGUACCAGAAUUCAGAGGUAACAUCUCUGGAGUCUGGAUUAGCAGGUGUCAAGGAAGCCUUAGGGCUGGGACAAGACCAGGCUUGGUCCUGGGAGACAAAAGUUACAACUAGAAUCUUCAUGAUGCUCUGGCCUACAAGAUGAGGAUGGCCAUUGCCAAACCUUCAGAGUACCAGACAAGGAGACUGAGGUCCAGAGAUGUAGGUGAUAUAUUCAGGCUCACUCAACAAACCCACUCACAUGUCUUACUUCAUCUCAAAGUAUUUCAAUGUGUUGGCUUUUCCUCUUCUAUGUGCUGGUGUGUACUCUCUAACUCAGGUUUUAACAUCUAGAUCUAACACAUGAGUGUGUAUAUAUAUAUAUAUAUAUAUAUAUAUAUAUAUGUGUGUGUGUGUGUGUGUGUGUGUGUGUGUGUGUGUGUGUUUCCCCCAGAGAAUUAGCCAUUCCUCUAUGCUCUCUGUCCAGGCCUCAUCUUGUUACACUUUAAUUAUCUGUCUCUUUAAGUCCCUGCAGGAGGGGCUGGAGAGAAGGCUCAGAGGUUAAGAGCAUGGCCUGUUCUUCCAAAGGUGCUGAGUUCAAUUCCCAGCAACCACAUGGUGGCUUACAACCAUCUGUAAUGGGGUCUGGUGCAGGCAUACACACACAGAAAAUAUUGUAUACAUAUUAAAUAAAUAAAUUAAUUUUUAAAAAAAGUCCCUAGCCGGACGGUGGUGGCGCACGCCUUUAAUCCCAGCACUCAGGAGGCAGAGGCAGGUGGAUCUCUGUGAGUUCGAGACCAGCCUGGUCUACAAGAGCUAGUUCCAGGACAGGCUCCAAAACCACAGAGAAAACCUGUCUCGAAAAACAAAAAACAAGAACAAAAAAAAGUCCCUGCAGGACCAAGUGCCUAAGAGCAGGCAUGUUGGGCUGUACUCUAUACACAGUCAGAGCACAGUGGAUUUUAUUUUUUUUUUAAGGUUGAUGAAUUUACAACCCUCCACUCAUGCAUAGAUUACCAUGGCUUGGUCCUAUUAAAUAUGUAGUCUCUUUACAAUGGAAAUGCUAAUUGCCUUGAUUUUAUUGUUACAAAUUGCAUGCAUGUAUCAAAUUAUUAUACUGUACCUCAUAAAUAUGUAUAAACACUAUGUCAAUUAAAAUGAAUGAAUAUAUAAAAAUACUUUAAAAAUGAAUUAUUUUGAAAUGAUUUUCUUUUAAAAAGAUUUAUUUAUUUUUUAAGAGUGUAAGUGUUUUGCCUGCAUGUUUGUCUGUGAAGCCUGGUGCCCGUAGAGGCCAGCAAAGGGCAUUGGGUGCUCUGGAACUAGAGUGAUG